rnacentral:rRNA from 1 species
GGCCCCCCACAAGCGGUGGAGCAUGUGGUUUAAUUCGAUGCAACGCGAAGAACCUUACUUGGUCUUGACAUCCAUAGAAUUAUGCAGAGAUGUGGGAGUGCCUUCGGGAAUUAUGAGACAGGUGCUGCAUGGCUGUCGUCAGCUCGUGUUGUGAAAUGUUGGGUUAAGUCCCGCAACGAGCGCAACCCUUAUUUUUUGUUGCCAGCGAUUUGGUCGGGAACUCAAAGGAGACUGCCGUUGAUAAAGCGGAGGAAGGUGGGGACGACGUCAAGUCAUCAUGGCCCUUACGACCAGGGCUACACACGUGCUACAAUGGCGUAUACAAAGGGAAGCGAAGGUGCGAGAUGGAGCGGAUCUCAUAAAGUACGUCUAAGUUCGGAUUGGAGUCUGCAACUCGACUCCAUGAAGUCGGAAUCGCUAGUAAUCGUAGAUCAGAAUGCUACGGUGAAUACGUUCCCGGGCCUUGUACACACCGCCCGUCACACCAUGGGAGUGGGUUGCACCAGAAGUAGAUAGCUUAACCGCGAGGGGGGCGUUUACCACGGUGUGAUUCAUGACUGGGGUGAAGUCGUAACAAGGUAACCA